UACGUAGGGUGCGAGCGUUAAUCGGAAUUACUGGGCGUAAAGUGUGCGCAGGCGGCUUCGCAAGUCGAGUGUGAAAUCCCCGAGCUUAACUUGGGAAUUGCGCUCGAAACUACGGAGCUGGAGUGUGGCAGAGGAAGGUGGAAUUCCACGUGUAGCGGUGAAAUGCGUAGAGAUGCGGAGGAACACCGAUGGCGAAGGCAGCCCCCUGGGCUAACACUGACGCUCAGGCACGAAAGCGUGGGGAGCAAACAGG
rnacentral:rRNA from 1 species